GAUGAACGCUAGCGAUAGGCCUAACACAUGCAAGUCGAGGGGCAGCAUAAAGGUAGCAAUACUUUGGUGGCGACCGGCGCACGGGUGAGUAACGCGUAUGCAACCUACCUACUACAAGGGGAUAACCCGGAGAAAUUCGGACUAAUACUCUAUAAUACAGGGGUCCCGCAUGGGAAUAUUUGUUAAAGAUUUAUUGGUAGUAGAUGGGCAUGCGUUCCAUUAGGUAGUUGGUGAGGUAACGGCUCACCAAGCCAUCGAUGGAUAGGGGAACUGAGAGGUUUAUCCCCCACACUGGAACUGAGACACGGUCCAGACUCCUACGGGAGGCAGCAGUGAGGAAUAUUGGUCAAUGGAGGCAACUCUGAACCAGCCAAGUCGCGUGAAGGACGACGGCCCUACGGGUUGUAAACUUCUUUUGUAAGGGAAUAAAGUUUAGUACGUGUACUAUUUUGCAUGUACCUUACGAAUAAGGAUCGGCUAACUCCGUGCCAGCAGCCGCGGUAAUACGGAGGAUCCGAGCGUUAUCCGGAUUUAUUGGGUUUAAAGGGUGCGCAGGCGGGAUGUUAAGUCGGCGGUGAAAUUUUGCGGCUCAACCGUAAAAGUGCCUUCGAAACUGGCAUUCUUGAGUGUAGAUGAAGUAGGCGGAAUUUGUGGUGUAGCGGUGAAAUGCAUAGAUAUCACGAGGAACUCCGAUUGCGCAGGCAGCUUACUAAGCUGCAACUGACGCUCAUGCACGAAGGCGUGGGGAUCAAACAGG
rnacentral:rRNA from 1 species